AUUGAACGCUGGCGGCAUGCCUUACACAUGCAAGUCGAACGGCAGCACGGGGGCAACCCUGGUGGCGAGUGGCGAACGGGUGAGUAAUGCAUCGGAACGUGCCCAGUAGUGGGGGAUAACCAGUCGAAAGACUGGCUAAUACCGCAUACGACCUACGGGUGAAAGCGGGGGACCGUAAGGCCUCGCGCUAUUGGAGCGGCCGAUGUCUGAUUAGCUAGUUGGCGGGGUAAGAGCCCCCCAAGGCGACGAUCAGUAGCUGGUCUGAGAGGACGACCAGCCACACUUGGACUGAGACACGGCCCAGACUCCUACGGGAGGCAGCAGUGGGAAAUUUUGGACAAUGGGCGCAAGCCUGAUCCAGCCAUGCCGCGUGCGGGAAGAAGGCCUUCGGGUUGUAAACCGCUUUUGGCAGGAACGAAACGGCGACCUCUAAUACGUCGGGAGGUUGACUUAACCUACAAAAGAAGCACCGGCUAACUCUGUGCCAGCCGCCGCGGUAAUAC
rnacentral:rRNA from 1 species